GGAGCAAAGCCAGUUUAAGCGGUCUAUUCUGUGGGCUUAAGUGCACUUCUAGAACAUCCUCUGGAGCGUUACUAGCAAAGUAUCCAAGGCUGCAUGCAAAGUGGCAAUUCCAGGCCGGCAUGAGUGAAGGCAGGCAGGCAGGCAGGCAGCCUCCGUUCUCGAGUCCUUAACAGGGGAAGAUGGGAAGAAAAGCCAACACACCAGAGAACAGCAGCAGCACAGAGCGGGUCUUUUUCACACAAGGAAGUUACAAUCAGGAGUUAAGGAGGAGAACACAGAAUCAAAAUGUCCAGGGAAAGAGACAGUGGGAAAUGAAUGAUCCAACACGGCGUGGGGGGGUUCUGCAGUUGCAAAAACGAAUCGUGAUUUUGCUGUCCAGCUCAAGACAAGCCAAGCAUUUUGUGGCAGGGAGAACGUGUGUGCCAAGACGCAACGAUGAGAAAUAGAGCCAUCACUCUGUCUUGUCCACGUCUCGGCAGCGAUGGCCAAUGUUGGUCGAAUUCUUUCGCCGAACGGGCUGGUAUGGACAAGCCAUUUUCUGAGCGAAAAGAGAAUCUCGAGUCCAUUUUUGCAAUGCUGCUCCGGAUCUCUCUUUAUAAGAUUGCAUGCAAGAUCUAAUCUCACGUAAAAGUUUUCAUCU